ACAGUCUGGCUGGACCAGGUGGAACCUCUCCUCUCCAGCACCCCUCUACUGAGCCUGCUGCCCCGGGCACGCCCCCUGAUGACCAAUACUUCCUCUACAAACACACGCCCCUGGAACACCCAGCAGGCUCAGGCUCUGUUCCAAGAAGUGAUGAACAUAAAAUCCAACCUCUCCCCACAAGCUUUCCUUGCCCUAGGUACCGUUGGCCCAGGUGCAAGCUGCAAGGUCCUGAAGAAGCUCUUCUUCUCUCA